rnacentral:rRNA from 1 species
ACAGCAGUCGCCGCGGUAAUACGUAGGUCCCGAGCGUUGUCCGGAUUUAUUGGGCGUAAAGCGAGCGCAGGCGGUUAGAAAAGUCUGAAGUGAAAGGCAGUGGCUCAACCAUUGUAGGCUUUGGAAACUGUUUAACUUGAGUGCAGAAGGGGAGAGUGGAACUCCAUGUGUAGCGGUGAAAUGCGUAGAUAUAUGGAGGAACACCGGUGGCGAAAGCGGCUCUCUGGUCUGUAACUGACGCUGAGGCUCGAAAGCGUGGGGAGCGAACAGGAUUAGAUACCCCCGUAGUCCCUGUCUCUUAUACC